GGAAUGCUUCCAACUUUUGCCCAUUCAGUAUGAUAUUGGCUGUGGGUUUGUCAUAUAUGGCUCUUAUUAUUUUCAGGUAUGUUUCUUCACUUCCCAGAGCCCAAAGUGGGUUCCAGAACUCUUUUUCUUUCAUUCAUUUCUCCUGAAAAUCAUUUUACUUCUAUACUCAUCCCCCAAUAAAUUUGUAUGUCUUUCUCCCUGUUAUCUGUCCACGGUCUUGUCUAU
rnacentral:lncRNA from 1 species